rnacentral:rRNA from 1 species
UACGGGGUGCAGCAGGCGCGAAAACUUUACAAUGCUGGCAACAGCGAUAAGGGAACCUCGAGUGCCAGGUUACAAAUCUGGCUGUCGAGAUGCCUAAAAAGCAUUUCAUGGCAAGGGCCGGGCAAGACCGGUGCCAGCCGCCGCGGUAACACCGGCGGCUCGAGUGGUAACCGUUAUUAUUGGGUCUAAAGGGUCUGUAGCCGGCCGGAUAAGUCUCUUGAGAAAUCUGGCAGCUUAACUGUCAGGCUUUCAGGAGAUACUGUCUGGCUCGAGGCCGGGAGAGGUGAGAGGUACUUCAGGGGUAGGGGUGAAAUCUUGUAAUCCUUGAAGGACCACCAGUGGCGAAGGCGUCUCACCAGAACGGACCUGACGGCAAGGGACGAAAGCUAGGGGCACGAACCGGAUUAGAUACCCGGGUAGUCCUAGCCGUAAACGAUACUCGCUAGGUGUCGGCCACGGUGCGACCGUUGUCGGUGCCGUAGGGAAGCCGUGAAGCGAGCCACCUGGGAAGUACGGCCGCAAGGCUGAAACUUAAAGGAAUUGGCGGGGGAGCACCACAACGGGUGGAGCUUGCGGUUUAAUUGGAUUCAACGCCGGAAAUCUUA